GAUGAACGCUGGCGGCGUGCCUAAUACAUGCAAGUCGAGCGAACGAAGGAAAGCGUGCUUCGCCGAAUGUAGGCGGGGAACGGGGGAUAACACGUGGGGUACCCUCCUAAAAGAACGGGGAAAACUCGGGAAACCCGGACCUAAAACGGGUUAUAUUUUUAAACCCAAGGGUUCAAAAGGUAAAACGGGCUUUGCGGCAACUUAAAGAUGAAUCCGGUCUGCAUUAGCUAGUUGGUAAGGUAACGGCUUACCAAGGCAACGAUGCAUAGCCGACCUGAGAGGGUGAUCGGCCACACUGGAACUGAGACACGGUCCAGACUCCUACGGGAGGCAGCAGUAGGGAAUCUUCCGCAAUGGGCGAAAGCCUGACGGAGCAACGCCGCGUGAGUGAUGAAGGUCUUCGGAUCGUAAAACUCUGUUAUUAGGGAAGAACAUAUGUGUAAGUAACUGUGCACAUCUUGACGGUACCUAAUCAGAAAGCCACGGCUAACUACGUG
rnacentral:rRNA from 1 species